rnacentral:rRNA from 1 species
CGCCUGGGGAGUACGGCCGCAAGGUUAAAACUCAAAUGAAUUGACGGGGGCCCGCACAAGCGGUGGAGCAUGUGGUUUAAUUCGACGCAACGCGAAGAACCUUACCUGGCCUUGACAUCCAGAGAGCUUUCCAGAGAUGGAUUGGUGCCUUCGGGAACUCUGAGACAGGUGCUGCAUGGCCGUCGUCAGCUCGUGUCGUGAGAUGUUGGGUUAAGUCCCGUAACGAGCGCAACCCCUAUCCCUGGUUGCUAGCAGGUAAUGCUGAGAACUCCAGGGAGACUGCCGGUGACAAACCGGAGGAAGGUGGGGAUGACGUCAGGUCAUCAUGGCCCUUACGGCCAGGGCUACACACGUGCUACAAUGGCGCGUACAGAGGGCUGCCAACUCGCGAGAGUGAGCCAAUCCCUUAAAACGCGUCGUAGUCCGGAUCGGAGUCUGCAACUCGACUCCGUGAAGUCGGAAUCGCUAGUAAUCGCGAAUCAGAAUGUCGCGGUGAAUACGUUCCCGGGCCUUGUACACAUCGCCCGUCACACCAUGGGAGUGGAUUGCACCAGAAGUAGUUAGUCUAACCUUCGGGAGGACGAUUACCACGGUGUGGUUCAUGACUGGGGUGAAGUCGUAACAAGGUAACCGUA